rnacentral:rRNA from 1 species
ACGGAGGGAGCAAGCGUUGUUCGGAUUUACUGGGCGUAAAGGGCGUCUAGGCUGAUUUAAAAGUCAGAUGUGAAACCCCCCGGCUCAACCGGGGAUCUGCAUUUGAUACUGUAAGUCUUGAGUACGGAAGAGGAGAGCGGAAUUCCUGGUGGAGCGGUGUAAUGCGGGGAUAUCAGGAAGAACGGCGGAGGAGAGGGCGGCGCUCAGGACCGAAACUGCCGGUGAUGCGGGAAAGUGAGGGGAGGGAGCAG